GUGAGGAAUAUUGGUCAAUGGGCGGGAGCCUGAACCAGCCAAGUCGCGUGAAGGAAGAAGGAUCUAUGGUUCGUAAACUUCUUUUGCAGGGGAAUAAAGUGCGGGACGUGUCCUGUUUUGUAUGUACCCUGAGAAUAAGGAUCGGCUAACUCCGUGCCAGCAGCCGCGGUAAUACGGAGGAUCCGAGCGUUAUCCGGAUUUAUUGGGUUUAAAGGGUGCGUAGGUGGUUUGAUAAGUCAGCGGUGAAAGUUUGCAGCUUAACUGUAAAAAUGCCGUUGAAACUGUCGGACUUGAGUGUAAAUGAGGUAGGCGGAAUGCGUGGUGUAGCGGUGAAAUGCAUAGAUAUCACGCAGAACUCCGAUUGCGAAGGCAGCUUACUAAGCUACAACUGACACUGAAGCACGAAAGCGUGGGGAUCAAACAGGAUUAGAUACCCGUGUAGUCC
rnacentral:rRNA from 1 species